UACGGGGGGGGUAAGCGUUGUUCGGAAUUACUGGGCGUAAAGCGCACGUAGGCGGCUUUGUAAGUUAGAGGUGAAAGCCCGGGGCUCAACUCCGGAACUGCCUUUAAGACUGCAUCGCUUGAAUCCAGGAGAGGUGAGUGGAAUUCCGAGUGUAGAGGUGAAAUUCGUAGAUAUUCGGAAGAACACCAGUGGCGAAGGCGGCUCACUGGACUGGUAUUGACGCUGAGGUGCGAAAGCGUGGGGAGCAAACAGG
rnacentral:rRNA from 1 species